rfam:Zootermopsis nevadensis contig30361, whole genome shotgun sequence.
GCCACGGUGGUCUAGCGGUUAGAACGGUGGCCUUGUAAUCCUGGGGUCUCGGGUUCGAAUCCCGGCGGUGCCC